AUUGCUUUUGUUUUAAUAAUAAAUCAUUAAUAAAUAAAAAAAAUCGGUUCUUAUCAGUUUAAUAUCUGAUACGUCCCCUAUCUGGGGACCAUAUAUUAAAUGGAUUUUUCGAACAGGGAGAUGGAAAAAGAGCUUGCUCUGUCCACUCCACGCAUUGACCUGGUAUUGCAGUACCUCCAGGACCGGUGCACCCCUU